rnacentral:rRNA from 1 species
GAUGAACGCUGGCGGCGUGCCUAAUACAUGCAAGUCGAGCGAACGGACGAGAAGCUUGCUUCUCUGAUGUUAGCGGCGGACGGGUGAGUAACACGUGGAUAACCUACCUAUAAGACUGGGAUAACUUCGGGAAACCGGAGCUAAUACCGGAUAAUAUUUUGAACCGCAUGGUUCAAAAGUGAAAGACGGUCUUGCUGUCACUUGUAGAUGGAUCCGCGCUGCAUUAGCUAGUUGGUAAGGUAACGGCUUACCAAGGCAACGAUGCAUAGCCGACCUGAGAGGGUGAUCGGCCACACUGGAACUGAGACACGGUCCAGACUCCUACGGGAGGCAGCAGUAGGGAAUCUUCCGCAAUGGGCGAAAGACUGACGGAGCAACGCCGCGUGAGUGAUGAAGGUCUUCGGAUCGUAAAACUCUGUUAUUAGGGAAGAACAUAUGUGUAAGUAACUGUGCACAUCUUGACGGUACCUAAUCAGAAAGCCACGGCUAACUACGUG